AGGUGCGAUCAUACCAGCGUUAAUGCACCAGAUCCCUUCGAAACUCUAUAGUUAAGUGCACUUGGGAUAGAGUAGUACUGGGAUGGGUGACCUCUUGGAAAGUCCUAGUGUUGCACCCU
rnacentral:rRNA from 1 species